AUUGAACGCUGGCGGCAGGCUUAACACAUGCAAGUCGAGCGAGCGGCGGACGGGUGAGUCAUGUCUGGGAAACUGCCUGAUGGAGGGGGAUCACUACUGGAAACGGUAGCUAAUACCGCAUACCAUCAGAUGUGCCCAGAUGGGAUUAGCUAGUAGGUGGGGUAAUGGCUCACCUAGGCGACGAUCCCUAGCUGGUCUGAGAGGAUGACCAGCCACACUGGAACUGAGAUACGGCCCAGACUCCUACGGGAGGCAGCAGUGGGGAAUAUUGCGCAAUGGGCGCGAGCCUGAUGCAGCCAUGCCGCGGGUGUGAAGAAGGCCUUCGGGUUGUAAAGCACUUUCAGCGAGGAGGCGGUACUCGCAGAAGAAGCACCGGCUAACUCCGUGCCAGCAGCCGCGGUAAUUC
rnacentral:rRNA from 1 species